rnacentral:rRNA from 1 species
UUGAGUUUGGAUCAUGGCUCAGAUUGAACGCUGGCGGCAGGCCUAACACAUGCAAGUCGAGCGGUAACAUUUCUAGCUUGCUAGAAGAUGACGAGCGGCGGACGGGUGAGUAAUACUUGGGGAUCUGCCUGAUGGCGGGGGACAACCACUGGAAACGGUGGCUAAUACCGCAUAAUGCCUACGGGCCAAAGUGUGGGACCUUCGGGCCACAUGCCAUCAGAUGAACCCAAGCGAGAUUAGCUAGUUGGUGAGGUAACGGCUCACCAAGGCGACGAUCUCUAGCUGGUCUGAGAGGAUGAUCAGCCACACUGGGACUGAGACACGGCCCAGACUCCUACGGGAGGCAGCAGUGGGGAAUAUUGGACAAUGGGCGCAAGCCUGAUCCAGCCAUGCCGCGUGUGUGAAGAAGGCCUUCGGGUUGUAAAGCACUUUCAGUGGUGAGGAAGGCGUUGUCGUUAAUAGCGGCAACGAUUGACGUAGCCCAGAGA